GAGCAGAGCAAUCUGAAAUCCGAAUACACCACACUUGGUUCAUAAAAUUCUAAUCCAAUCAUAUUCCUACGUUCAUGAUCCACAGGCCAACGAGGCCCACCCAACUUUACCACUGGGCUCACACUUUCUUUCAAGUUUCAACCUCAGCUGCCUCCACGCGCAUUUUAGUAGCAACCUUUCUCUACUAUAUUCUUCUUCACCGGGCGGAAGCGCAAGUUAGUCGAUCCCUUUAAACCAAGGUUAAACUGCCAAACGUGACAGCUUAUAACUGAAAAUGAAAAUCAUACAUACUUUCCUGUAAUACCUGAAAUACCCCUACGAUCUGGUUCCCUAUUCAAAAUCCCAAAUUCAUCUUGGAUCACCCUCUUCUCUCUCUCUCUCUCUCUCUCUCUCUCUCUCUCUCUCUGGCACCUCAUUUCUGUGGAGUGUUGUGUGUCACAGAGAGAGGGGAUCUUUGUUCUUGGCGCUUCUUCCUCUCCUCUCGUUGUUUCUCAUGGAGCUUCAAGGUCCCUCAGAUCAGUGCCAUCCCGAGAGGAAAGGCCAGAAGAGGAAGCUCGAGGACGAGUUCGAAGAAGACCACCACCAGAUCUCCACUCCUCCUACCGGCGACGCCCGCGACGCCAUCCUUGCCGACGUCCAGGAGCAGGUUUCCAUCCUCAACUCUACUUUCUCAUGGAAGGAGUCAGAUCGAGCCGCCGCCAAGCGCGCUACUCACGCGCUCGCCGAUCUUGCCAAAAACGAGGAAGUGGUAAACGUGAUUGUCGAAGGAGGAGCUAUUCCGGCUUUGGUUCAGCACCUCCAAGCUCCCCUCGUGACGGAAGAAGACCUCGUUCAGAAGCUGUUGCCGUUUGAGCAUGAGGUCGAGAAAGGGAGUGCUUUUGCACUUGGACUUCUUGCCGUCAAGCCUGAACAUCAACAGCUCAUUGUUGACAAUGGUGCCUUAAAACACCUUGUUGAUCUACUGAAGAGGCAUAAGAAUGGUUUAACAUCUCGUGCCAUUAAUAGUCUCAUUCGUAGGGCUGCAGACGCUAUCACUAAUCUUGCUCAUGAGAACAGCUGCAUUAAAACCCGAGUCAGGAUGGAAGGUGGAAUUCCGCCUCUUGUUCAUUUGCUUGAAUUUGCAGAUACAAAGGUGCAGAGAGCAGCUGCUGGUGCAUUGCGAACCCUUGCUUUUAAAAAUGAUGAAAAUAAAAAUCAGAUUGUUGAAUGCAAUGCUCUACCAACUCUGAUUCUAAUGCUUCGUGCUGAAGAUGCAGCUAUUCAUUAUGAAGCGGUUGGUGUGAUUGGAAAUCUGGUCCAUUCCUCCCCCAAUAUCAAGAAAGAAGUUCUUCUUGCUGGGGCUUUGCAACCUGUUAUUGGAUUGCUUAGUUCUUGUUGCUCCGAGAGUCAGAGGGAAGCUGCCUUGUUGCUUGGACAGUUUGCUGCAACUGAUUCAGAUUGCAAGGUUCACAUUGUACAGAGGGGUGCUGUUCGACCUCUGAUAGAGAUGCUCCAUUCCCCUGAUGUGCAGCUCAGAGAAAUGUCUGCUUUUGCAUUGGGGAGAUUGGCCCAGGACACACAUAACCAAGCUGGUAUUGCUCACAACGGUGGCUUAGUCCCUUUGCUGAAGCUCCUUGAUUCGAAGAAUGGGUCUUUGCAACAUAAUGCAGCCUUUGCUCUUUAUGGCCUUGCAGAUAAUGAGGAUAAUGUGUCAGAUUUUAUUAGGGUAGGCGGAAUUCAGAGAUUGCAGGAUGGAGAAUUCAUUGUUCAAGCAACUAAAGAUUGUGUUGCAAAGACAUUGAAAAGAUUGGAAGAGAAGAUACAUGGCCGUGUGUUGAACCAUUUGCUAUAUCUGAUGCGAGUUUCAGAGAAGGCCUUCCAGAGAAGAGUGGCUUUGGCUCUUGCUCAUCUUUGUGCAGCAGAGGAUCAGAAAAAAAUAUUUAUCGAUCACCAUGGUCUUGAGUUGCUUAUUGGGCUGCUUGGUUCAUCCAGCCCUAAGCAGCAACUAGAGGGGGCUGUUGCUUUGUUUAAGGUGGCUAACAAAGCUAUGACUCUGUCUCCUGUCGAUGCCGCUCCUCCUUCUCCAACACCCCAGGUCUAUUUAGGAGAGCAAUAUGUCAACAAUUCUACCUUGUCCGAUGUAACGUUUUUGGUUGAAGGCAAACGGUUUUUUGCUCACAGAAUCUGCCUGCUUGCAUCUUCAGAUGCAUUUCGUGCAAUGUUUGAUGGUGGUUACAGGGAGAAGGAUGCAAGAGACAUUGAGAUUCCAAAUAUUAGAUGGGAGGUCUUUGAACUGAUGAUGAGAUUUAUAUAUACUGGGUCAGUUGAUGUCACUCUUGAUAUUGCCCAAGAUCUACUUCGAGCGGCUGAUCAGUAUCUUUUAGAGGGACUUAAGAGACAUUGUGAAUACACCAUUGCACAGGAUAUAUCACUAGAGAACGUGUCAAGUAUGUACGAACUUUCAGAAGCUUUUAAUGCUAUAUCAUUAAGGCACGCAUGCAUCCUUUUUAUCCUGGAGCAAUUUGAUAAACUGAGUGCAAGGCCAGGGUAUCUACCUAACUCCUUCCAAUCCUUUGCUCUCUUUUUUUCCCCCCCUAGACACACACUUCUGAUUCAGCGGAUAACUCCAGAGAUCCGGAAUUACUUUGUUAAAGCUCUUACCAAGGCCAAUUCCAACACCCAGCUGUAGUAUGUGUUGUUCUACUAUUGACAUCUAACCGAUUGUAAUGUACAGAAUGUGGUAGAUGUUCUUCUUUUCGUUGAAACCAGCAAAAGAGGUCUCCCAUUUUCGUUGCAGCAUUGCUUAGAGAAAUAUCUAACACGGCCAUGCAUGUUCGUUUCUGAUGUAGUGGCUUGACGAUAAUAAGCUAACCCUUUAAAAACCUAGCAUGAAUCUAAUAUCUGGUUGGAAUUCCUAUGAUUCACGGGCCUUGCCCACAGUGAUUUGGUUUCAGCGAUAAAAAAAAUACUUGCCAAGUGCCAACAACAUAUUUUAAUUCUAAGAAUAGAAUAAUUCAAAAUUAUUUUAUUUAUUUAUUAAUUUAUUGUCCCUCAAAUUUUUGUUCUCUAUUGUAAUAAAGCAUUUCUUUAACUAUUCUAUAUUUCAAUAAUAAUUGUUAAUUUUCC